rnacentral:rRNA from 1 species
GGCGAGUGGCGGACGGGUGAGGAAUACAUCGGAAUCUACUCUGUCGUGGGGGAUAACGUAGGGAAACUUACGCUAAUACCGCAUACGACCUACGGGUGAAAGCAGGGGAUCUUCGGACCUUGCGCGAUUGAAUGAGCCGAUGUCGGAUUAGCUAGUUGGCGGGGUAAAGGCCCACCAAGGCGACGAUCCGUAGCUGGUCUGAGAGGAUGAUCAGCCACACUGGAACUGAGACACGGUCCAGACUCC